CUGCUACAGCAGACUUUUGUAAUGGUUGAGGUAUUUCCGAUAUUCGUCGCAAUUCGCACAGAAACAAAAGCUAGCUAAUGCCGACGGCACCUUAAAGGAGUUGGAAGUAGGAAACCCUUCUCUGCAGCAAUAAUCUGCAGCUGUGCAACUGUCCAAUCUAAUUUUUUUUUCUCUCUUGAUUUCCGAAUAGAUAUGAAGAUUUAUUAAUUUAUUAGCUUUUAAUGGUGUUUUAUUGGGGUUUUGCUGUUUUAAAUUCGAAAAAAAAAUUAGGCAUUUUUAAGUUAGAAACUCAAAUUUUCAGGAAUUUUUAGAUGGGAUUUUUGAAAUUCCGAGCGUUUUUACAUGGGAAUCUCGAAAAUUCAGACAUUUUUAUGUUGGAAACUCAAAAUUUCAAGCGUUUUUACGUGGGAAAUUUGAUAUUGUAAGAAUCUUCACGAUCCUUGUACUUUCCCACCGCCAUACAAGAGCAUUACUUCCGUAUAGUCUUACAGGUCCAGCAAGUGCUGCCGUAGCGGAUAACAUCACGGUUAUCCGGCCAGAACCGCUGCCCAAGACAACGACUAGGCCUGCCAACGUUUGGAGGUCACGAUGCAAGCGCGCCCCACCGGACGGCGCGCGGAUCUGAAUUGCCGGCGCCAACUCUAAUUGUCACCAUUCUGGAAUGUUCUUGGCCCCGCCCAAUUCCCCUAUAAAAGGAGCAGAAACGCUCAUUCGAGGCCUUUUCCUUUACUUUUAACCCGUUGUCACGUGUUCGUUGUUUGCCCACAAUAACCUGCUUUUCUGUAAAUUACUUUAUUAACUAAUAAACCUGCUCAUGACAA
ensembl:ncRNA Y17D7C.9 ncRNA